AUUCCAAAAUGCCAGUGUAAGGAAAAGGGUGGACAGGAAGGACUGCGAUACUUGUAAAGAUGGGAACUGUCAAAGAGAUUUGUGUGAGGACUUCCACUGUGCAAAUGAGGGGAAGUGCAUCAUAGACCCUGGCCCUCCAAAAUCAGCCAGGUGCUCCUGUUCACCGGGGUAUCACGGAACCCAUUGUGAAAUCUCCAUAUGCCAAGGCUUUUGCGUGCAUGGUAUAUGUAAAAUCCGCCAAGGUGAACCAAUGUGGCGAGUGUGAUGGUGGUUGGAGGGGUCGCUUAUGUGUAUGAAGC